CAAUUAUCCUACACUGCCUCUUAUCAAUGCUUCCCCAUCCUCCCAUCCUUUCAUGACACAGCUGUGCUGCUGAAGGAACUUUGUCGAGUGCUGACUCCUUACAUUAAUUUAGAUUUCAUCCUGUUAACUGUGCUAAACGUGCAUCUCCUCCUCCUCCAUCUGCUCCUUCCAAUAUGACAUAUUGAUCAUUAUGGAAGCUGAUCAUUCAGGACUGGAUGUCCUGGAUUCUGAGAAGCUGACAACAUCUGUGCAGGAGUCAAACAUUCUCCAGAUGCAUCAGGUUACUCAAAUCCUCUACAGAAUGGAAAGAUAAAGAAAACCAAGAAGUUGGGUGAGCAAAUUCAGAAGAUCGUCUAUUUCCUUCUUCAAUUUACCUUCUGCUCUCAGAGUGGCAUAUAUUUUUAGGCUCUAUGGAAAAAUGGGGUCCCAUUUCAAGAAUGAAGAACCAAAUUUAGGGCUGUAUUUUUAUCUAAAAUGAACUAAGAAGGAGUGCCAUUCUCUCCGUAAAAUCACUAGCACCUAGUUUGCAAUUCCACACCUUCCACACAGAAAUGGUUACAUCCUGUACAUUCUUAUGUAAAAAGCAUAGUAAUUAAGAUUUAAAAUAGCAUCUGCUUCUUUCUUUAAAAUGCACAUAAUCUAGAAAGACUGGCCUCUUCCUUGAUUCUCAUCCGUCAGAAAUGUUAUUUGCAGAUAAUGCUGGUGAAUCACAUGUUUGAACAAGUUGCCUAGGAAAGCUGUAAAGCCAUCUUCUCUGUUUUAAAACAAAGAUUAUCAAGCAUGGUUUAGAAUUAUCUAGUGACUCUAAUAUUGUAUGGUUUAGGGUUAAUUGACCCAACAUUCCUUAAACCCUCAUCAUACAUCACAAAAUAUUAUCAUAGAAUUAUAGACACAUUAAAUUAGCUAGUCUCUCCUUGUUCUAAAAAAAUAAAAGUAACAUAUUCCUAAAGCACUCCUGCUAGACACAUCCCUAACUUCUUUGUAUCUCAUAAUAAUACAGGGUAUGGCCUAUAUUCUAUGAUAAUGUGGAUCCAGAAGAAAUAAGCAUUUACCUAGAGAUAGACAAAUUGUGCAUUUCACUGCAGCAGGGGCCCUGCUGCCCUAUUAAAAGCAUACAA